GCGGGAGUAGCUCAGUGGUAGAGUAUAACCUUGCCAAGGUUAGGGCCGAGGGUUCGAUCCCCUUCUCCCGCU
rfam:Anaplasma marginale str. Florida, complete genome.